rnacentral:rRNA from 1 species
GACGAACGCUGGCGGCGUGCUUAACACAUGCAAGUCGAACGGAAAGGCCCUGCUUUUGUGGGGUGCUCGAGUGGCGAACGGGUGAGUAACACGUGAGUAACCUGCCCUUGACUUUGGGAUAACUUCAGGAAACUGGGGCUAAUACCGGAUAGGAGCUCCUGCUGCAUGGUGGGGGUUGGAAAGUUUCGGCGGUUGGGAAUGGACUCGCGGCUUAUCAGCUUGUUGGUGGGGUAGUGGCUUACCAAGGCUUUGACGGGUAGCCGGCCUGAGAGGGUGACCGGCCACAUUGGGACUGAGAGACGGCCCAGACUCCUACGGGAGGCAGCAGUGGGGAAUAUUGCACAAUGGGCGGAAGCCUGAUGCAGCAACGCCGCGUGCGGGAUGACGGCCUUCGGGUUGUAAACCGCUUUCGCCUGUGACGAAGCGUGAGUGACGGUAAUGGGUAAAGAAGCACCGGCUAACUACGUG